GAUGACUGUGAGCAGAGAGGAGCACAUCUAGUCGUCAUAAACAAUGAUGAGGAACAGAAGUUUGUCCGUGAGCUGAGUAAGGAUGGAGAGUCCUGGAUUGGUCUACGGUAUGGACAGAGACAAGGAGAAUGGAAAUGGGAAUGGGUCGACCGAUCACCGCUGACACUAACGUUCUGGGCAUCAGGACUGCCUCAUGAUUACGGUAACUUUACUGCUGCAACAUGCUGCGAUCGACAAGGAAAAUGGACACAAAGAC